ensembl:lncRNA
CGCUCUCGCUCUCGCUCGCUCUCUGAUUGUUUACUGCACAUUGUUUGAAAAGUUCCCAAAAAAGGACUUGGUGCUCUAUGGCUUCUACGUUACAUCAACCACAUGGUUGGUUACAUCAACAACACGUCCUGAAUAAAGUGAUCUCAUCAACAACACCACUUUUGCUGAAAUGGCACAAGAGGUUAAGCAUGAUAUUGUGGGACAUGAAGCAUAAGAAAGGCAACAGAGUCACACACAGCCGCCUCACUAACGCCAACAACCCGUCCCCUCCUCGCAAGGCCCGCUGUCGCCAUGGAAACACAGUCCAAUCGGAGCCUCGGGAAUGCAGGGAGGGGGCGGGGACAGUGCUGAGCCCUCUAACAUUUCACACACACACAUAUACACACACAGCAGCACACAUGCACACACUGAUAUUCACACACACACGCAUAGUCAGCUCUCUCAAUCUCUCACGCAGAGACAAACAAAUACAUACAAGCUCUGUACGUCCUAUCCAUAUAAACACACAAACACACACACACAUAGACUACAAAAUAUACAUUGGCAGGUAUGUAUAGAGAUUUUGGAGAAAUCAUAAAGGGCAAAAAGUCUUUGAAAUUUCAGGCUUCAGUGUAGUUCAGAGAAAAAUCUUAAGCAGUCUACAAAAAAAAGACUUUAAAGACUCAAACCAUCACAAGGCGAAGGAAAGGAAAAAAUGUGGUCUGUUCUAUAACAUGAAGAUUCUGAUAAAACAAGAAGAGACAGACCAAACCCAAGGCUUGUCCUUAUCCACUCCCUAUCGCAUGUCUGCUUUUCCCCAUUCAACAGCAUACAGUGUUUUUGGGGCCCAUUAAUCUUGAUCACUCCCUUUCAUUUCCCUCUCAGAUCUAGGACACUUCCCUCAGCCAUGGUAAUCAACAGGACUAGAGUUGCCUUUUUUCCAUUAUUUUCCCAGGGUAUAUUAUGUUUCUUGUCCAUAAUCUGUUUUGUUUGUACCAAACAAGACAAUAUGGUGCAAAGCUUUAGCAUGCAAUAUGUUACCAGGAUGAACAGGUGGUAAAUCUAGUCGUAGAGAUUUCAUUUCCACUAUGCCACUUUCUUCAUUUAAAAAUAUUACCAAUGUAUGAAUAAAAUAUGACUGUCGUGGUUACGCCAAAAUGGGCACAUGACUAUGUUUGCCAUCAGCCACUGCACCUCACCGGAUCACGUCACAUGAUUGUUUGCACCUGUGUCAUGUUUGGUUAAUGAGAACUAUGAGUAUUUAAGUCACGUCUUGCACCUCACUCAAUGUUGAGCUUUUAUCUUUCAUUGUCGCUGUCAUGUUAUGUUCUCUAGUCCAUGUAUGUCUUCCUGCCUCGAAAUUCUAGUUAAUAUCUUUUAUGUUUAAGUUUAUGUUGUCUGCAUUGUUUGUGUUUCAUUACUCCUCUACAAAUACCUGACAUUGACCUGCUGUGGUGUUAUAGGAGAAUAAUCCACGAUGGGGUGGUGUGAUGUGAAUGUGAGAGUUUACCACCCCAGGGGUCAUUAUUUUCUCUAACGGCUUGUCUCAAAGUGAUUUUAUAACUUUUUGUAACACUUACAUGUCUCAAAGUGUUUUAAGUGUCCUUAUACCACAGCAACAUGCUAGCAAAUACAAUUUUGUAUUUAUUAAAAAAUGACAUAUUUAAAUAGAUCAAUCCAUUUUCUAAACCACUUAUCCUAUACAGGGUUGCAGGGAGACCAAAGGCUAUCACAGGACAUGGGGAACACGGCAGGGGACACCUUGGACGGGGUGCCAACCAUCGCAGGGCACAAUCAUACACAAUAUGGAAAUGACAAUCAGCCUAUAUCACGUCUUUGGACCGAGGGAGGAGUCCAGAGUACCCGGAAGAAACCCCUAAAGCACGGCGAGAACAUGGUUAUGGGGAGCCUGGAGUCUAUCCCAGGGGACCGGGGCACAAGGCGGGGGACACCCUGGACAGGGUACCAACCCAUAGCUGGGCACAAUCGCACACACAUUCACACACUAUGGACAAUUUGGAAAUGCCAUUCAGUCUACAAUGCAUGUCUUUGGACUGGGGACUGGAGGAGGAAACCAGAGUACCUGGAGGGAGCUCCAAAAAGCAUGGGGAGAACACGCAAACUCUGCACACACAGGGUGGAGACUGGAUUCCAACCCCAAACCAGGUUUAACAUGGUUUUGCGCACAAAGCAUCCACACAUCUUCCCACAUCUGGCACUGAAGAUGUUGUCCAAGUAAACAGAUGAUAUUAUAAGACCUCCUACCAUAAGAAGAGAAGGUCACAAUGACUCUCCAAGGAUCCUGAGUUCGAGUUACUAUCUCCAGGUUCUCUGGUUUCUUAGCAUUCCACAAAAACAUGCCAGUAGGUGGAAUGUCAAUACUUAAUAGCCCUUGGGUGUGAACGAGUGUGUGAAUGUAUGUGCAUGGUGCCCUGCACUGGACUGGCAUCCCAACCAAAAGGCUCAGGAUCCACCAGCACCGUUACCAGGAUAAAGUGCUUGCUGGAGAGAACCUUGAAACAGAGGGAACCUUAACCAAAUGUUCUUAAGACAUCCUUCCUGCUUUAAUUCUGUGUAUUCUCUAAACAAAGGUGUUCAAAUCAAUACUCGUUGUGUAUCUACACGUUUGUAGACACAAAUAUCAGUGUGUUCAAUUUUUGUAAAAACAAAAAAUGUAUUAUAAUUACAAUGGUUGUGUCCAGUAUGUGCUCUUUGGACUAAACAUGCUAAAAAAUAAAAACGACAAACUCAAUUCAUACACUCGCCAGACAAUUUAUUAGGAACACAUGUACACUUGCUCAUUCAUGCAACUAUCUAAUAAGCCAAUCACAUUGCAGCAAAGCAGUGCAUAAGAUCAUGAAGAUACAGGUCAAGAUCUUCAGUAAAUGUUCACAUCUGACAUCACAGUUGGGUAAAAUGUGAUCUUGCAGGUGCAGAUGGGCCGGUUUGAGUAUUUCUGAAGCAGCUGAUCUCCUGGGAUUUUCAAGCACAACAGCCUCUACAGUUUACACAGAGAAAACAUCCAUUGAGUUGCAGUUCAGAGGGUGGAAAUGCCUUGUUGAUGAGAGAGGUGAAGAAUGGUACCACUCAUUUAAACUGACAGGAAGGCUACAAAAUAACUUGCUACUCAAAUAAUCACUCUUUACAGCUGUGCUGAGCAGAAAAGCAUCUCAGAAUUCACAAUACACAGAACCUUGCGGUGGGUGCGUUACAACAGCAGAAGACUAGACAGGGUUCUAGUUCUCAGCCGAGAACAGGUAUCUGAGGCUACAGUGAGCACAGGUUCACUGAAACUGAACAGCUGAAGACUGGGGGGGAAAAUCAUUGCCAUUGAUUUUGAACUGUCAAUGCCUUUUGUCAAAUUCUGCUCUAAUAGUUAAACCCGAGCUGCAGGGAUUCCAAGGCCUCACUUAGUCAACUUUACUUUAGCCUAUAAAGUAAUGGAACUGCCCUUAAUAUGGUGAUUGUGAUUCUCUCAAGGGGAAAUGGUGGGGAAAGUCAGUGAGUGGUGCUGGUGAUGUGAUUAUUUAAAAAAAAAAAACUGUGAGCAAGCGUUACAAUUUCUGAUCAAAAUUCAAUCGAUAUUCACUUCUCACUCCUUCACUUCUUGCCUUGUCUGGGGUUAAAUUAUGACCAUAUUCCUAAGUGUGUUUCUGUAAGCGUAUGUGUGUGUAAGUGGAGAGAUUUACAUGUGGUUGGGACGGUAACCAUAUUUUAACACUUCCACAACCACGCAGGCAUUAAAUCAGGUUUGCUGCUGCAUCUCCCCUCAUCUCAGAGCUGUAAAAUGGAUUAAUGAGACCUGCCCCCUCUUAAAAUUUCUCUCUCUCUCUCUCUCUCUCUCGCUCUCUCUCUCUCUCACACACACACACACACACACACACACACACACACACAUGCACACAUUACUGAGGGAGCUUCUUCAUUUCCAACUUCUUACAUGCUGAAUUGCCGGCUUUCAUACUAUUGUUUUCUUUUUUAAAUAAUGUAAGAGAUAGUUAUUUGCAAAAAUACAAAUGUCUAUGGAAUGUUCUGUCUUAGCCCAUUUGUUUUUAGCCAUUGGCUAAGUGUAUCCCAAACACUAGUGUUUGACAGAAGACAUAGAUGUGUUUAGGAAUAGUGCAUAGCAUAUACACCAAUCAGCCAUAACAUUGACAGGUGAAGUGAAUAACUUUGAUUAUCUUGUUACAGUGGUACCUGUCAAGGGGUGAGAUAUAUUAGGCAGUAAGUCAACAGUCAGUUCUUGAGUUUGAUGUGUUGAAAGCAGGAAAGCGUAAGGAUCUGAAUGACUUUGACAAAGGCCAAAUUGUGAUGGCUAGAUGACUGGAUUAGAGCAUCUCCAAAACAGCAGGUCUUGUGAGGUAUUCCCAGUAUACCGUGGUUAAUACCUACCAAAAGUGGUCUAAGGAACGAUAACUGGUAAAGCAAAGGCAGAUUUUUCUGAUCCGAUCCCACAGAAGAGCACAUAUUGCUGAAAAAGUUAAUGCUGGCUAUGAGAGAAAGGUUUCAGAACACACAGUGCACGGCAGCUUGCUGUGUAUGGGGCUGCGUAGCUGCAGACCGGUCAGAAUGCCCAUGCUGACCACCGCCUGUCCACUGAUGAAAGUGCCUACAAUGAGCCUGUGAGCAUCAGAACUGGAUCAUGGAGCAAUGGAACAAGGUGGCCUGGUAUGGUGAAUCACGUUCUUUUACAUCAUGUGGACAGCUGGGUCACUGUGUGUCACUUACCUGGGGAAGAGAUGGCACCAGGAUGCACUAUGGGAAGCCAGCGGAGGCAGUGUGAUGCUCUGGGCAAUGUUCUGAUGUGAAACCUUGGGUUCUGGCAUUCAUGUGGAUGUUACUACCUAAACACUGUUGCAGACCGAGUACACCCUUUCAUGGCAACGGUAUUCCCUAACGUCAGUAGCCUCAUUCAGCAGGAUACUGCUCCCUGCCACACUGCAAAAAUUGUUCAGGAAUGGUUUGCGGAACAUGACCCCUGAAAGGGUUCAGGGUGUUGACUCGACCUCCAAAUUCCCGAGAUCUCAAUCCGAUGGAGCGUCUGUGGGAUGUGAUGGACAAACAAGUGUGAUCCAUGGAGGUCCCACCUCACAACUUACAGGACUUGCUUAAAGGAUCUGCUGCUUACAUCUUGGUCCCAGAUUCCACAGCACACCUUCAGAGGUCUUGUGGAGUCCAUGCCUCGAUGGAUCAGAGCUUUUUUUUGGCAGCACAAGGGGGACCAACACAGUAUUAGGCAGGUGGUUUUAAUGUUAUGGCUGAUCGGUGUACAUAUUGUGCAAUAUACAUGAAUCACUAGAAAUUAUUAAUUACAAACAUGAUAUGUUCAUCAAAGCAAACUACAAUAUAAAUGAAAGGACAGUCAAGAACACCCUGCAGCUGAUCAGCUAACUAGCAUGUGAGAUAUACUUCCAUAGAAAACAACUCAGAUCACAAUGCACUCUGAGUGUAUGGGUGCUAAACACAUGUUAUAGCUUAUGUAGCUGACUUUACACAUCAUUUUAUUACAAAAUCACUUAAGUGCUAUUUAUAAACCACCUUGUGACUUGUACCAUCUUUCAGUGUUAAGAAUGUCUGCAGUGUAUUGUGGGUUCGUGAUACCGACCCUGUCCCAGAUGGUGCACGUGUGGCAUUGUGGUAUUCACAUAGGUGUAAUCUGUGUAUAAUCAGUUAUUUCUGCCAUUUAAAUCUGUCAGUACGAUCUUAUGCAAUUUGAGUUACAUGAUUCUUCGCAGGUGUCACUGAAAGGAGAGUCAUCGCAAAAGCACAGUGAACACAAGCAUAAUGAGAUGAAGGACAAAAACUCAGGACUGCAUCCCAGCCCCCUCGAUCACUCAUGCAUCAUAGAUCCAUACCUUGGCAAUGUCACCAAAGUGGGGGAUUGAAUGAGGACUUAAGGGCUGAGGUGCUAUUUAGGACAGGGCCUAUCAAGAAAUUGUUAGCAUGACUUCUUGCCAUUUGGGUGUUUGUUUAUUUAUGUUUAUUUAUUUCAGUGUUACAGUUAGUAACACUAACUACAACUCUCCAAAUCACACAAGGCCAGAAAUUGUUGUAAAUUCUAAACUAUUGGUUGGAUAUGGUAGUUCAGUGUUUGUCUGCAGUGAGCACAGAUUUUUGUUUGUUUAAGAGUUUUAAAAAUAAAAAAAGAUCUCUGUUAAGACAUUCAUAAGACAUACAAUAGAAUGAUUUUAGAAAUUGUUUGUCUUAAUAUGGGCACAAUUUCAACAUCAGUCCGUACAGGAUUUCUCAGGAUUUCUUUUUUGUUUCUUUAUUGCUGCAGCCAAAAAUGCUUGAUUUUGCUGCGACUUUCUCAAAAUUUGCGAGUUUUUUGUGGAAAACUACGUAAAUAGGCGUAAUUGUAAUCGCAUGAAAUUCCUUCGCAGUAAUGUUUGUUGGUAAAUGAGACCUUUUAGAUGUACUCAUGCUCGAUGCAUUUGAAAAAAAAGAGGGCUCUGGCUGAAUGUGUGUUGUGAUGACGUCACGUGACGUGUCUUGGCCCAAAUCUGCGGAAAAAGCUCCUCCGAAUACUGAGGAGUUUGCUUGAUUUUCCAUUAAAUCGUGCGAUCAGGAACUGCAACAUAGUUUCACAAUCACAAAUUCAUAGCAACUCAGUUUGCAUGAAACGUUAACACUUGGUUUAGGGUUUUUACAUUUCAACUUCGUUCAUGCAAAAUCAGACUUUGGGUUAGAUUAGAUUUAGGUAGACCAGUACUGACAUAAUUUUGACUAAUAAUAUGUGUAAGGCUAAUAGUGGAGACACAUGAACAUAAAUGGCGCACUUACAGUAUAUAGCGCUUUUAUCCAAAGCGCUUUAUGCUGGUUCUCAUUCACCCAUUCACACACACACUCACGGUAGCAGAGCUGCCACGCAAGGCACUAACUUGCCAUCGGGAGCAACUUGGGGUUCAGUGUCUUGCCCAAGGACGCUUUGGCAUGUGGAGUAAUGUGGCCCGGGAAUCGAACAACCAACCCUACGAUUAGUGGACAACGCGCUCUACCACCGGAGCCACAGCCACCCCAUGUAGCUGGUUAGUUGUUGAUCACUGGGUCACAUUAAUGGAAAUGAUGUGUGGUGUUCUUCACGGUGCUCUGCAAGUGUGUGUAUGAACUAAGCUCUGUGAAAAACCAACAGGUCCAAAGUUAUUUGCUCCAGACUCCAAAAUGAACAGCAUGAUUCGCUCCUCAGUUUCAAAGAUGUCUGUGUGAAAUUGAUUUCCCUGGCAUUAAAAUGAAAAAAUGUUAGUUAUUUAUGCAUUCUAAUCCUAACCCUAGGUAUUUGGGAUUUUUAAUGGCUUCAUUUUAUGUAUGUAAGCAAUGUGUUAAAUCAUAGCACAAAAGUCCCCGUUUGGCGCUUUGCUGUUUUGACAGUUGGAAACAGAAUCCCAUCACACCUCCUAGGCAGUAAUGUGUGUGUGUGUAUGUGUGUGUGUUUGUGUGUGUGUAAUGGUCAGUAGAAGACAGCAUCAUAAAUCUCUCAGUGAAGACACCUAAGACACAACUUCCCCCAAGUGUAUAAAGACACACACACACACACACACACACACACACACACACACACACAUAUAUAUAUAUAUAUAUAUAUCAUGAGGCAGUGAAAAACAAAGUAUGUUAUUUACUGGUGAAUAUAGAUCAGCACAGAUAAAUAUACAUAUAAAGAAUCAGCUAUAGUUUUACUUUAUUAGGUUCAUAGGUGCAUUUUUAAAAAUCAAUAAAAUCAAUGUACAAAGAGGGUUUAUCCUGUAUGCACAUGUGAACAGACCUCAGCUUCGAGCGAAUAAGUGUUUUGGCUGGUUUGUAUUAGUAUAUCCAAGAACGAGUCUCUGUGAAACCCUGCUCUCACAUUCCAGCUUGAUUCGGUACAGAAAGCACAUUUUAAAAAUGAUACUGUGCAAAUGUUUAUUAUAACUACAACUAUGCACACAAAACCACCAGAUUGCAAAAAGAAGACCCACUUCAAGAUUUCGCCAAGUGACACCCUGUGUCCAAAGUGUGUGUCUCUGCAUCCUCUAGGCUACAACGGACAAUAACCACUCCAGUGCAUUGUGGGAUUUCAUGCAUGUCAUACUCUAAGUUCUCAAACACCUGUACACCAGCACAUUUUGUAUUCUGACUCUGAUCAUCUUUAUCCUAUGAUGAAACAUUUCUAUCCUGAUGGGAGUGCUCUUUUCCAGGAUGAUCCGCCCCCUUCCACAGAGCACGAGGGCUGGCUUAAUGGUUCAGGUAGUAUGAAAAUGAUGUAAAAUACAUGCAGUAAUAUCACCAAAUAUCAACCCAAUUGAUCAUUAACUAAGGGAAUAUCUUUUAGAAGAGUGGUGUUCUAAACGAGACUCAUUUAUGAACUCAAUUAUUCACGGAUCCACUGAAGAGAGUACUGAACACAACUUGCACAAAUUCAUCCAUCCAUUUUCUUAUCCUACACAGGGUCGCAGGGAGCCUGGAGCCUAUCCCAGGGAACUCGUGUCACAAGGUGGGGAACAUCCUGGAUGGGGUGCCAGCCCAUCUCAGGGCACAAUUGCACACACUACGGACAAGUUAGAGAUGCCAAUCAGGCUACAACAUUUGUCUUUUGACUGAGGAAGGAAACCGGAGUACGCAGAGGAAUCCCUGAAGCAUAGGGAGAAUCCCCUAGCCCCAACCCCCAGCCUGCAGAUGGUUAAGACACAGUGGCAGAUCAAUCCAUCCAUUUUCUGUAUUACUUCUCCUACACAGGGUUGCGGGGAGCCUGGAAACUCAGGGAACUUGGGGCACGAGGCGGAGGACACCCUAGAUGGGAUGUGAUCCAAUCGCAAGGCACAAUCACACACACACACACACACACUCACACACCCAAUCAUACACUAUGGACAAUUUGGAAAUGCCCAUCAACUAACAACGCAUGUUUUUGAACUGGGGAGGAAACCCCUGAAGCACGGGGAGAACAUGCAAACGUCACACACAGGGGACAGAGACUGGAUUCGAACCCCCAACGCCAGAGAUGUGAGGCUAACCACUAAGGCCCUGUUUACACUAGUGUGUUUUCAUUUUAAAACGCAUAACAUUUGCUACGGUUUCGCCUGUCGUCUACACUACUCUGGCGUUUUCGACCCUCGAAAACGGAGACUUUUGGAAACACCGAAGACCCCGUUUUAGUUUGAAAACUCCGGGCUCGUGUUUCAGUGUAAACAGAAGAAAACAAAGACUUUUGAAAACGAAGGCGUGGCUACCCACAUUCGCCCCCUGAUUGGGUCUUCUGGAUCAUUGCGUAUCCUUCCCUGAUUUGUCAAGCCUCUACCAUAUGAACAUUACGCUACAUUGAUCACACACAACAACACGGAGACUGAAUCGCAAGCUUUUCUGGCUUUGUCGUCAUUCUAAGCAGCCAUUCUGCAGUUAAAUUCUGUAUUUUAUAAUACUGCAGCUGCCUACAUACGCAAGAGGUGAGCUAUGAUUAGAGCAAUCGGCAACAAAUCUCAUUUCAAGCGGCAUAAGCCUCACAUGGAACGCCGGUUUGUUGUGCCUGCCUAGCAACCAACUUCCUGUUUACACUUGUAUGCGCAUGCCCAGUGUGCAUGAAUGGUCAUGUGACAUGCGUUUUCGGUCGUGUAGUGUGGACGGAGAUGUUUCUGAAACGCACUAGUGUAAACAGGGGCUAAGUGGGGCUACAUGCCCCCACACACCAGCAGAUAAAAACAUGAUAAUGUUUUAAAAAGUACUGACUUAAAGGUUACCUGAUUCAAACACUGGCCCAAUGAAACAGCUGAGCAAAUCUUGGUCUUGACCAAAAGGAUUCACCGGCUCCAGGGGCAGGGUUAAGGAUAAGAUCUAGUGUACAUUUGAUUGAAAAUACAAAUCAUACAAUAUAAUUUUUUUUUUAAAGCCAUUUACAGAUAAACAUAUAUCUGAAACUUGUGUGUUUCAAUUAUGCGGUUUGCAAUGGUGAAGCCCUCAACAGCAACGGAACAAAACUAAUGACUCACAGUCACCAAUACUGAAUCAUUCACCUUAGUGACUCUUCAGAAAGACUGCGUUUGUGAAUGAAACAUGUUGAGUUCCUCCCCCCAGUUACAGUUACAGACCUGUACACUCAGACACACAGAAGCUGGUCUGACGGCUCGUAGAGGACCAACACCUCACUAAGACACGUUAUGUUGGUUUUUCCUGUAAUUUGUUCACUGUGUGUGUGUGUGUGUGUGUGUAUACCGUAUACAGUACUGUACGUAGUGUAUAACAAUUUUCAACACCAUUUGAGACAGUUACCAACCUGGGAUUCAUGUGUUUUAUUGUAUUUUAACUCUAUUUAUACUACACUUUUGAGAAAUGAAUCCAAAUGUAGAUAUUUUCCAUAAAGAAAGACAGACAGAAAGACAAAGGAAGGAAGAAAGAAAAGGGCACAGGGAAAAACACAAAGAAAGAACAAAAAAAAAAGAAAGAGGUGCAGACAGCAACUCACAUGAACACAGAUAUCUUUUAACCGAGCCUUCCGCUCAGUCUGUCGAGGAAGAACAAGGCAGUGUCUUCGCUUGUCAGUGGAUUGGGACGAGGCCUGUCUGUACCCGUCCCAGCCCCAACCCCUGCUGCACACCUGGGCCUCCGUUUCCCUUUGAGGUGGGUCCCGGACACGACCUAGCAUGCCUCGGAGAGUGUGUGUGUGUGUGUGGACAGGGAGAGAAACACACACUGGGAGGUCUGCGUGAAAAGGGAGUUCCCCCAUUCAGCCCUCACUGACACAAAUGUAAGCAUAAACAACAGAAACUGUACAGACAUGAUUUCAUUCAUACUUUAAAAAACUCCUAAGCAAUGGUGUGUAGUGGCAUCGUGAGUACAUAAGUGUGUGUGUGUGUGUGUGUGUGUGUGUGUGUGUGUGUGUGUUGCUGUUACUCUUUCCAGCCUGCGCACUGCAUCACAGUGUAAAGCGGAGCAGGAAGCAGGAAGCCCUGGCAUUGCUGUAGGACCGGUGAAUAAUUAGUGUAAGAAUUAAAACGGAGCAUCUGAGACUCAAGCUGGACCUCUAGUGUUCCUCACAAAAACAGGGCGAAAGUUUCUCCCUCUCUGCAGGCCCCUCCUGGUGGGCGUGGUAACAUCCCCCUCCUCCUGUCACACUUCAAAGAGGAGACUGAGCUCCCCCUGCAUUCAUCUGAGGCUAACAGCUUAACCACCCGCGUACAGCGUACCCACGCCCUCAGAAGACACACACAUACGCACACACACACACACACACACACACACGCACACACGUGCACACACACACACACACACACACACACACACACACACGCACACAUAUGCACACACACACGCGCGCACACACGCACACGCACAUGCAUACACACACGCACACGCAUACACACACGCACGCACACACACUUACACACACAUAUAUGAACACACAAUUACACUCACACACACAUACACACACAUAAACACACACAAACACACACAUAUUAACACACAAUUACAAACACACACACAUAACACACCCUUACUCUCACACACACACACUCACACGCACGGACACACAAGCGCACACACAUAUAAAAACCCACUUACACACACACACACACACACACAGAUAUAAACACACACUUACAAACACACACAUAUAAAUACACACUCACACACAUAAACACACACUCACACAAACACACUUACACACACACAAAAAAUCUACACACAUACACACAGAAAGUCUACACACAUAUACACACACAAAAUCUACACACACAGAGAAAAGAUACACACACAUAUAUACACACACAAAUAUACACACGUAAACACACACAGAAAAUCUACACACAUAUAUACACAUACACACACACAAAUAUACACACACACACUCGCUCACACACACAUGCACACUCAUAUACACAAACACACACAACACAAAUGCACAUGCAUACAUACACACAUAUAUGCACCCAAACACACACACACACACAGAACAUAUACACAAAAAUGCACUUGAACAAAAAAACCUCUCAUACACUCACAUGCAGAGAUACAAUGCACACCCACACAAAUGCACAUACACGUGUGCAACCAAACACACACACACACACACACACAAACAGACACAUAUAAACACACACUCACUCACACAUAAAACUAACAUACACAUGCGUGCAUAGACAUACACACAUGCCCACUCACAUACACAAACAAAACAAACACACAAAUACACAUCUUUCGUUGUACGGUCUUUUGGGUGAGACGUUAAACAGAGGUCCUGACUCUCUGUGGUUAGUAAAAAUCCCACCACACAGCUCAUAAAGGAGUAGGGGUAUAACCCUGGUGUCCUGGUGAAAUUCCCCCAUUGGCCCUUAGCUAUCAUGGCCCCUUAAUAAUCUCCAUCCCUGAACUGGCUACAUCACUCUCUCCUCUCCACUAAUAGCUGGUGUGUGGUGGGCGUUCUGGCGCACUACACUUCCGUCACAUCAUCCAGGUGGAUGCUACUCCUCCACACACACACACACACACACACACACACACACACACACACACACACACACACCAUACAAUGUAAAUCACUUUGAGUGUCUAGAAAAGUACUAUAUAAAUAUAAGGAGUUAUUAUUAUUAUUAUUAUUAUUAUUAUUUCUAUAUGCAAAUGCACCCAAACACACACAUGGCCAAAACAAUCUCUCAUACACUCGUAUGCAAUAUAAUACACAUUCACACCCAUACACACACACACACACACACACACACACACACACACACACACACCACUAACACAUACAGAACGCUA